UUAAUACCGACAAGCGACUUCCUUUCGAAGGGUGAAUUCUAUGCGGCUGGGUUGACAGCCCACGUGUGAAUUGUCAAUAGGGUUAAGGUACUGCAAGAUGCGAUGUCAAUCAACUUGCCAAUGGUUCAUCCUUGGCCAAACCUAGAGGAGACUCUAGCAAUUUGAGAAAUGAGCUUGGUAGAAAUGCCAUGACCCAUGUUUGGAAUGAGACAAACACUAAGUUGUCGACAUACAAAUAAAUAUAAAUAUAAAGUCAGAAUAAAUAACAACAACAACAAUAAUAAUAAUUUAGUUUCUCCAGUUAAAAGCUAUGGAAAUGCAGAGGUUUUUAAAGAUGAGGUAUUAAAAGAUAAUAGGGAUCUAUCAGGUGUUUAUCGAUGGGUUAAUAAUCUUAACGGCAAAACAUAUGUAGGUAGUGGAGUAAAUCUAGCCAAAAGAUUGGGUAGCUAUUAUAAUAAAAACGAAUUAAGUAGAAACCCUAGACCUAUCCUAGAUGCUUUACUAAAAUAUGGCUACAACAAUUUUACGUUGGAGAUUUUAGAGUAUUGUCCCAAAACUAAACUGCUUGAGAGAGAACAAUUUUAUCUUGAUUUAUUGGUUCCGGAAUAUAAUAUAUUAAAAUACGCAUAUUCCUUACUAGGUUUUAAACAUAGUAAGGAGAGCAUAGAAAAGUUAAAAGCUAAAAUUAUAUCUCCUGAGCAUAAAGAAAUAUUGUCUACGGUUCAUAAGGGAAAACUUGUUAGUGAUGUGACCAGAAAUAAACUGGCCGCUGCUACUGCAAGUUAUAGAAAAAAUAACCCUUUAACACCAGAGGCUUUGGCUAAUAUAAAAGCUAAAACUCUCGCUCGUGAAGGAGUAUCUGUUUCAGUCCUGAAUACUGAAACAAAUGAAGUAAAAGAGUUUACAAAUCAAACGGAAGCGGGUGUAUUUUUGGGGGUUACAAGGCAAGCAGUUUAUAAUGCUAUAAAAAGAGGUUCGCCUAUUAAUGGUAUAUAUCUUAUAACAAAAACAUAACAAACACAAAAAAAAAAUUACUUAAGCUUCAGUUAAUAUUUGAAGCCAGGUUAAAAUCUGUUGUCUAAAUGGGUAGUUAGAUAUAAUAAGAUAAUAUCUAACUACUUAGGGAGAAGUACCUUACUUUGCGUUAAGGCAAAAAGGUAGAUCUGUGUAUGUCUAAAGGGAAACAGCCCAGAACAAGAGUUAAGGUUCCAAAAUUAUUGUUAAGUGAAACUAAGGAAGUUUCUAUCUAAUACAACUAGGAAAUAGGCUUAGAAGCGGCUAUUUUUUGAAGACCUCGUAACAGAGCACUGGUUUAGUAAAAACUUUACAUUGAUAGUUGCACCGAAAAUUUAACGGAUCUAAACAAUAUACCGACACCUUGUCCAUAUUGUUAAAUAUAAUAUAGAAUUUAACUAUGGGGUAGCAGAACGUUGGGUAAAUCUUAGACAUAUUCUUUUUAAGAAUAUAGAGUAAUAACGAGUAAUAUCGUAUGAGAGCCCUGAAUUAAUGGUAACCCAAGUGAGAAUGCUGACAUGAGUAACGAAAAAGGGUCCCUUACGUUCGUUAAGAUGAAUUCAAAAAAUAGGAAUUAGUUGUCCAGUUUAGGGCGGACAUUCAAUUAAUUCAAAAAAAACGUAGGAAAUUAAUACGGGGGGGAUAUCUAACAAAAGAUAUUAUAGCCCUCGCCUAAAGCUUAUGGAUUUAUUAAAGUAACGGCCUCUAAGUUUACUAACCUAAAGGAUUAAACGAUGAGUAAAGCUUACCUACAAAGUAACAACAUCUUCUUGCUCGGCGAUAAUAUUUAUACGCUCCAGCGCUUUUUCGAAAAAGCGCUGGAGCGUAUAAAUAUUUACACUCAGUAAGAAAAGUGAAGAAGGUUCUGGAAAAACUUGUAACAAGUAAUGUUUAUUUUAUCAUUUUAAAUAUACUAAAACAUAUGAAGAAUGACGAAAUAAGGCUAAAUAAACCGUACCUAAAUACUACCACAAGUAAGCAAGUAGAGAAUACGAAGGCGUUUGAGUGAACAAUCAUUAAGGAACUCGGCAAACUAACUACCGUAACUUCGGGAUAAGGAGAGCCAUUCUUACUUAUUAGUAUAAGGUAAAGAAUAGGAAGCAUGGAAUAGUGUUGUACGACUGUUGUGCGCCGUUUAAUUAUAUAUACGCCCGUAUGUAAGUAGGGAUAAGAGUUGAAAAUCAAGUAAAAAGAAACUUACUCUUAUCCACCUUAUAUACCAGAUAGUUUUCGAAAUCUGUAAAGCAUUGUACUUAUCCUCGACCAUAAAGGGUGUCAACCUAGGUCUUGUAAACCUCGUAAGAGGGAGGGGAGUGUAGCAUGUACAAAAAGUGAGAGGAAGGCUCUGAGGAUGCGAAGACUUAAGAAAUGACAACCUACUUGCGAGCUAAAGAUUACAUGGCUUAAUGAAGAAAAGUUUUGGUCCGGAUUGUGCACCGGGUUGGAUAGAAUGGUUAAUGGACCAUUCAUGCGCAUCUACAAGCCAAUUGAGGGUACUUUUGUUUAUUGAACAGUGAAACAAAGGAGGGAACUACUCUCAACCAAGUAACAGAGUGAAUACUUGAAAACUACAAUCAUCAAAAUUGAUGAAAGUGAAAGCCUAAAUAAUCACAAAGACGUAUAUAUAAGAACUCGGGAAAUCUUUAGACUUGUCAUGUCUUCAAUCCAAUCUGGAUUGUCGAUUAUUUAUAUAUUACAAUUAUUAAGAAGUUACAUUAACUUGAACAAUUUCCCUAGAAGUAGUCCUUCAGUAUAGAAAUUGAUAAGAUACAGUCGGGCAUAAAAACUUCUAGAGGUUUAAGGAAAAAUUCUUGUAGACCCAACCCUCGAAGGGUUAAACUUUGACCUGGGGCUGACCCCCCCAUGUUAAAGGGGACAAACCUUAAAUUAUUGAAGGUGAAUGAGCUAGUGAUAACAUCGAGAACAUAGAUAUGAAGAGCUUAUGCCCUCGUCGAAUUUUAAAAAUGUGCCCUGGUUGUAAAUCUCCCUGAGGUUAAGACGUUCUCCAUCAAGUUAACGAGAGCUAUCAUACUCUGGGAAGCCCGAAGUAGCGGAAUACCGAUGAGGGAGGGAGUCUGAACUGAUCUUCCUCAGCAACGUGAAUCGUGAGAUAAAAGGCCUCCGAUAAGGGACAGUCAGCUAUAAAGAUUAAAUUUUCGGCGAAUGAGCACGACUUAGAGUUACCUAAGACACUCUCUUACACUAGAUUUCAUUCUGCUCGCAAUAAAAAUACUCAUUCAAAUUAUAAGUAAGUCAACUACAAUACAAAUAAAUCAGAACUAAUUAACCAAAUAGACAUCAAGGAAAGAUUAAUCCUACAGAGCGAUGGUAAAUGCAUCAAUGCGUUUAAUUUAAUCUCUAGUCCUGAAAUGCUAAUUGCGGCUUAUUCAACUAUAAAAAGUAAACCAGGUAUGAUGACAAAAGGUUCGGACGAGAUUACUCUUGACGGUAUCAGCAAAGAAUGAUUUGAAGAGCAAAGUAAGAUAAUCCAGUCUGAACAAUAUCAGCCUAAACCUUCUCGUAGAGAAUUUAUACCAAAACCUAACGGAAAAACAAGACCAUUAGGAAUAAGUUCACCUAGAGACAGAAUUAUUCAACAAUCGAUGAAAAUGGUGAUGGAAUGUAUGAUUGACCCUACAUUUUUAGACAGUUCACAUGGUUUCAGACCCCGAAGGAGCUGUCACUCCGCCCUCAAAGAAAUCAGAAGCUGAAAAGGGGUGACUUGAUUUAUUGAAGGAGAUAUUAAAGCCUUUUUCGAUAAUAUUGAUCAUCAGAUUUUAGCCCAACUGAUUAACAAACACUUUAGAGAUACUCGUUUGUUGAAUCUGUAUUGAAAAUUCGUUAAAGCAGGAUACAUGGAAUGAGAUCAAAGAAAAAUUAAAUAUGUAGCAUCAGAUGUAGGAGUACCACAAGGUGGUAUCGUUAGUCCAUUAUUAUCUAACUUAAUCUUACAUGAACUAGACGUAUAUGUGAAGGAACUAAGUGAUGGGUUUGAGAAUCUGAGAACUGAUCAAAAAAAAUCUCUAAUGAACCCUAAGUAUCUGAAAGCGGUUCGAUUAGUAAAAAAACUAAAAGAUAGUCUUAAAGAUGUUAAAAAGGGUAGUGCUGAAUAUCGUCUUACAAAACGUAAAAUUAGAUCGGCAUUAUGCGCUCAAAGAACUCUAAACUCACAAAUCCCUCAUCCCAAACUUCACCCUACAAUCAAAUACGUGCGUUAUGCAGAUGAUUGACUGAUUGGAGUUUGAGGUGAUAAAAAGUUUGCUGAUAUGAUAAAGAAUAAAAUGAGAACCAAAUUGGAAGAACUAAGAUUAACUCUCUCAGAAGAAAAAACCUUAAUUACUAACGCCAGAACUGAAAUGGCGAAAUUCCUAGGAACCCAUAUAAAGAAAUUUGCAACUAACAGAGGGACUAUAUUCGUAAAGAACAAGUCUAGUAAACAACUUGUUAGGAUUCCAGGUGGAAAUAUUAGAAUGACUGCACCUAUAUCUUCUAUCAUAAAAAAACUUGAACAGAAAGGUUUCUUAGUCGGUUCAUCUACCAAAUGGGAGAUGAAAUCGAUCUGAAAAUUCCUACCUCUGCCAAUGAAAGAUAUAAUACUAAGAUAUAGAUCUGUUUACCAUGGUUACAGUAACUUUUAUAGUUUUGUAGAUAACAAGAAGAUGUUCUCAAAGAUAUAUUGAAUUCUCAAAAUUAGUUUAAGAAAGACGCUAUCGAGAAAGUUUAAUGUCAGUAAACAUAGACUGACAAAAAAAUAUGGACAGCAUCUCAACUGUAACUAUCAAACAAGUCAGGGCAUAAAUAAAUAUAUUAACUUCCAAUUCCCUCCGUUAACGAGGGAUCCAAUGGCAUUCAAAGUUGGUAACAUAGAUUUCAAAGACCCAUUAUACGCGGGUUUAUGGAAUGUUAGAUCUAUAAAUGGCCUACAUGAAGUUUGUGCUAGUUGUGGUACAGAAUCAGGAAUUGAAAUGCAUCACUUAAAGCACAUUAAAACAAUAAACCCAAGACUUAAUAGCUUUGAUAAACUCUUAGCCAGAAUUAACAGAAAACAAGUUCCGCUAUGUAACGAAUGCCAUCACAAAGUACACGUAGGAAAAUACGAAGGGACAUCUCUAAGAUUCCUAGCAGGUAAAGGAAAAAAUAAAAACAUUCUUUAAUCCUGACUAAUAUCGGCAAGAAUUACCUUAGUACACAAACAGGAAGUUUAAGUCUAAUAAACUUAAACAUGGUCUUAUAAAGUUUUUGCUAUAACUGAUAAUUAAAUAUAUAAUAUAAUCGAAUAAUCGAAAGAAAGAAGAUACACAUAAUUUUGAAUUAUGAUAGAGAUCUCGGAAACUCCAUAUUAGUUGAGUGAAGAUACAUUCAAUGAAGGGGGUUAGCCUGAACAUAAAUUAGUACACAAACCUAUUACAGCAUGGAGCAGGACAUUCAAGUUUUACUGGAUCUGCUCAUCUAUCUGUGGUUAGUCACUGGUACACAACCAAGUCAGUGUCUCUUAUUUCUCCUAGAUAUGUCUUUACGACUUGAUAGGAGAGAUAAAAGAUAAAUUUCUGCAGAAUUCGCUAAUUCUUCGCGCUGACGUUUCAGGGGGAGAGCCGUAUGCAUUGAAAGGUGCACGUACGGUUCGGACGGGGGGUUCACUGAUAUGAGAUAUGGAUUAACGUUAAUUCAUACUUAAAUCGUAACUGGGUUCCUACCCUACUAAUUAAAACAAAGCACUUUGCAAUAAGAUAAUAAAUCAAAGUAUUGAGUGUGAUUUCUGCCCAAUGUCGGCUGGUUAACGGAUUUUCUGGGUUGACUAAUAUAAGCUUGGAUUUGAAGGAAACCCCGAUCAAUGGCGGCCUUACCUAUGAGGGUCCUAAGGUAGCGGAAUACCCUGGCCGUUAAAUGCGGUCUUGCAUGAAUAGAAAUCAAUCUAUUCCUAAUUCAACAGUGGCAUUAUAACGAUAUUAGUAAUAACUUAAAAGAAUGUGCCCUGCUUAGUAACCGGUACACGUGCGACUUCAUACCUAUAGAUGUAUGAGAUGUGGUUAUCAUCUUAGAAAAAGGGAACUAUCCGAAAAGCUACUUAAAAAUCCUAUUUUGAAACAGGUAGGAGAGGAAACUUGGUGCUAAAACAUGACGCAUCUGAACUAAGUAGAAAAUAACUAUGGACCUAAAUGUCAAAAGCGUUGAAUUUUUUUAAGUAAGACGCACACGAGCGAACUCUAAGGUAACCCCUAUUAAGUUUAUUAUUAUUAUUCUCCUCUUAGCAUUAUAACCCCGUGGAAGCAGAGGAGGGGAAUGUGGGCAAAAAAAAAUAUAAAAAAAAACAAAAACAUGAAAAAUCCAAAAUCGAUAACCAAAUUAAAUAGAUGCUUCUCCAGUUGACCCUCAAUAUUAGGCAGAGAUGGACCUAUGUCUAAUGCGUAUCGUUUAGCUAUUCAAUAUAUUAAUGAAAGUAGACCUAUAACAGCGGUUGAAGUUAAUAAAGUUUUAGCUUUUUCUGGUAUUAGUAUUAGUCAGGACAUGUUAAAUAAAAUACUUAGUAGACCACGACUAGAUUUUUCCGAUCUAGACUCAAAUACUAUAAAAACAGAAAAAUUCUUACAAACAAUUGGUACAGUAAGAGGUAAGGUUCAAUUACCUGGUGUUUACAUUUGAACACAUUUAGUUACAGGUGACAUGUAUGUUGGAUCAUCUUCUAAAUUAGCUCGUAGAUUAAUAGGUUAUUUCAAGAAUAACCAUAAAGAUACUGGUAAGCUAAUACCUUUAAUUAAAAAAGAAGGUGUGGGUGCUUUUAAAUUACAAGUUAUACCUUUAACAGAAUUUUAUCAAGUGAAUCAAGAACUUUGUUUAGAACAAUACUUCUUGUUACAACCUAAAUUUAAUCUUAACACACUUAGAGUAGUUAACGAUUAUUCUGGCGCAAGAGCCAUACCUUUAUACAUGUACACUAAGGACUUGUCAGAAUUGAUUUACUCUUCAAACAUCCAAGAGGACUUUAUAUUUAAAUUAAAAGUACAUUAUAGUAUCUUUAGCAACAGCUUAAAAACAGGAGCAGUUUACCUUGGUAAAUAUGUAUUCACAGAUAAGCCUAUUAUUGGAGCUAAAGAAAGCAAUAUGUCAGAAACAGAUAUAAAUUUCAUGUUGGAUAAAGAUAGGUUGGAAAUACAAAAAAGUAAGAGUAGAAAAGUAAUUAUAAAAGGUAUUGAAGGAAAUAAGGAAACUAUGCUGUUUGAUAGUAUAAGUAGUUGUAUAACUUUUCUUAACAAAAUAGCACCCUCUAAUAAAACAACAUUAUGUAGACACAUUGAAUCAGGAAAACCCUAUAACGGUUACCUGUGUCAAUGAGAUACUGUAAUUAAUGUUGCUAGUUCUAUUAAGGACAAAAGUAUAGAAAUCCAAGUAACUCAUAUACCGUCUGGUUCAACCGCUAUAUACCCUUCUUUUAGAAAGGCAGCUUUAUCUUUUGCACCAGAUUUUAUAACUACUGGACAAACUCUUAAAGCUUUUGCUGAAAAUGGUAAACUUUUUCAGGGAGAGUUUAAAAUAAGUAUCUUAAAGGAUAAGCAGUAAUUGCCCUUUAUUAAGCUUAUUAUUUAUAUUUUAUCAUCUAUUAAAGGAUACGUCCCUUAUAAUGAUAAGCACACAAAAUUUAUGCCAGCCUAAUUAGGAAAUAGAAAAAUCAAGCCUAGGAAACUUGAUUUUUGUGCAAUAAAGAGGCAAACUCCGGGGACACCCUAAAGCUUCUGGUACCAAGCUAUAGUUGAAAAACUAUAUGUGGCUGAAUUAAUUACUCAGGUUUUUGUUAGGUUAUUCAAUGAAUAACCUAAACAAUAAGGUAACAAGUCAGAAGAUGAGUGAAAACGAAAUGGGUUAUCGCGGAUCUAAGUCAGAUAAUAUAUCUGUAAAAGAGCAACGAGCGGAUGCUUCUUCGUAGAUACUUAAAAAUAAGUAUUAAUUUACGUAAGGUGCGCUCUAGUCGCCACGAAAGUGGUUCUUAAGCCAAAUAUAAGUAAUUUAAGAUUAAAGAUAUCAUAAUAACCUAACCUAAAGAUAAUAUCAAAGGUAAAAUUAUGAAACGGAAUGAUUUAACGAUACAACAGCUGUCUCAAUGAUUGGCUCAGUGAAAUUGGAAUAACUGUGCAGAUACAGUUUACCUCUAGAUAGACGAGAAGACCCUAUGCAGCUUUACUGUUGCUAGUUAUUGAAUAUGAUUGAACCAAUAUUAGUGUAUAAGGUAGUUGGAGGCAAUUUUUUAAACCUCGUUCAGGCAAAAUUGAAACACCUUUAUUUUGUUUAUCAUAUUCGUAGGCUAUAGAGUCUACGUCAUAAUAUAAGGUGCGUUAUUAUUACGUUAUUAAGUAUUAUAAUUAACCCAUCAUAAGGGAACAAUGGCUAGGAGGCAGUUUAUGCGGGGCACAGAUCCCAUAAAAAGUACCUGGGUGUAUCCAAAGUUAAUUUUGUAAAAUUGUCAUGACUUACUUAUGACAAUUAAAUAUACAAACUGUAUAUUUUUUUUUUUAGUUUGUUAUUGGUUUAGCUUAAGCUAAAACUAAUCCAACUAUAUAUCUAUUAAGUUAGAAUUAAUAUUUUAAUUUAAGUAAGAUUUUAACUAUAUGGAAAAUAGAUGUAAUUAAAACAUUAAUUUGAAAAUACUUUUCUAAUGUUUUUAGUUAUAUAAUUAGUUUAAAUUACACUUUUUAUAUAAUUAUGUUUAUUACUUGUCAAGUUUAAUGGCUUAAUCUUGCUUUACUGUUUGACUUACACGUCUAUCAGCCGCGUGAGCGGGCAUAUGAUCACAAGAUGCAGAAAGUAAAGCUCUUGGAUUUUUGAAAAAGCUACGCUAGGGAUGUUAGUCCUCCAAUGUUUUAUUCCUUUAAUUUUUAGC
rnacentral:rRNA from 1 species